UACGUAGGUGGCAAGCGUUGUCCGGAUUUACUGGGCGUAAAGAGCGCGCAGGCGGUCGUCCAAGUCGCGUGUGAAAGCCCCCGGCUCAACUGGGGAGGGUCACGCGAUACUGGUCGACUCGAAGGCAGGAGAGGGUAGUGGAAUUCCCGGUGUAGUGGUGAAAUGCGUAGAUAUUGGGAGGAACACCAGUGGCGAAGGCGGCUCACUGGACCGGAACUGACGCUGAGGCGCGAAAGCGUGGGGAGCAAACAGG
rnacentral:rRNA from 1 species